ensembl:lncRNA
GCUCUCCGUUAUUGGUAGAGGAUGCUUGGUGAGCGAUAGUAAUGGGUGAACGUCGCGUCGAUCAUUUCAGGAGGCGUAGGCUGCAUCGGACACUUCGGUUAGAACGCCUGCGAGCACAAGUUAACAAGUUAACGUCUUUUUUUAACUGGAAACAGUAUCCUAGCCAUGUGUAAGGGUAUGGAGAGGGAAGAGCCUCUUGGAUCUUUUUUAUCCAACCCAAUUAAAGCCAUAUGCCUGAGAGCACAAAGCCUAGGUAUUGGCACCGCGGGGGCUCGGGCCCCGGGCCUAAUGAGCAACAGGCAUCCGGGCAGCGUCCGUCUAAUAAGCCA